rnacentral:rRNA from 1 species
UACGAAGGGGGCUAGCGUUGUUCGGAAUCACUGGGUUUAAAGGGUGCGUAGGCGGGCAGGUAAGUCCGUGGUGAAAUCUCUGAGCUUAACUCAGAAACUGCCAUGGAUACUAUUUGUCUUGAAUAUUGUGGAGGUAAGCGGAAUAUGUCAUGUAGCGGUGAAAUGCUUAGAUAUGACAUAGAACACCAAUUGCGAAGGCAGCUUACUACACAGUAAUUGACGCUGAGGCACGAAAGCGUGGGGAUCAAACAGG